rnacentral:rRNA from 1 species
UACGAAGGGGGCUAGCGUUGCUCGGAAUCACUGGGCGUAAAGGGCGCGUAGGCGGAUCUUUAAGUCAGAGGUGAAAGCCCAAGGCUCAACCUUGGAAUUGCCUUUGAUACUGGAGAUCUUGAGACCGGAAGAGGUUAGUGGAACUGCGAGUGUAGAGGUGAAAUUCGUAGAUAUUCACAAGAACACCAGUGGCGAAGGCGGCUAACUGGUCCGGUUCUGACGCUGAGGCGCGAAAGCGUGGGGAGCAAACAGG